rnacentral:rRNA from 1 species
UACAGAGUGGGCAAGCGUUAUUCGGAAUUAUUGGGCGUAAAGGGCUCGUAGGUGGCCAACUAAGUCAGACGUGAAAUCCCUCGGCUUAACCGGGGAACUGCGUCUGAUACUGGAUGGCUGGAGUUUGGGAGAGGGAUGCGGAAUUCCAGGUGUAGCGGUGAAAUGCGUAGAUAUCUGGAGGAACACCGGUGGCGAAGGCGGCAUCCUGGACCGGUAUUGACGCUGAGGCGCGAAAGCUAGGGGAGCAAACGGG